rnacentral:rRNA from 1 species
AACGUUGGUACCUGCCCUUUAGUGGGGAGUAACUCCGGGAAACCGGGGCUAAUACCGCAUGUGAUCGCAAGAUCAAAGCAGCAAUGCGCUAAAGGAGGGGCCUGCGUCUGAUUAGCUAGUUGGUAGGGUAAAAGCCUACCAAGGCAACGAUCAGUAGCUGGAUCGAGAGGUUGACCAGCCACACUGGGACUGAGAUACGGCCCAG